AACACUGUGAUUAUAGGAACAAAAUUACUAACGGAAGUUUAGUCGGCGUACUCAUAAUUCACUCUGUAGAGUUCACCGAUGGAUUUGCCAAGAGAAUUUUUGUCAAUAUAAGAAUUUACGAUUGCCGAUGAAAAUUUUCAUCGGUAAUUUCGUCAAUAAUUCUAAAUAAAAUGCUUAGGGUUCUCUUUUCAAGCAUUUCUCUUUCUCCCUUUCUUUUCCCCCAAAUUCCCCUCCCUAUCGACCACCCCUAGCCCUCUUUCUUUGGCGUCAACAAACAGCUCCCUCCCCUAAUCAAACACUCUCUGUCAUAGACCUAAGUCCUAUCAAAGUCUCUCGAGCCGACAACCCCGCCCACGCUUUCCUCCCGUGACAAAGAGCCUCCCUUGUUCACUCUUGCCGACCGACAUGUAGUGGGGGCGACCACCCCCACUCCUCUCUCCCCCUUGAAUAUCGUGUUGGCCGAUUACCCUUGCCCCCAAUUCGAAGUUGAAUUCGGUGCUAACAACCCCACCACUCUCUACCAACUACCCCUUCCCCCGUGAGGACAAGUAAGACCAACGACAUUCUCCGAGGUUUUUGAGCACACUCACAAACGACAAAAAGGUACCAAAGAGUUUGUCUAUAACAAGUCGAAGACUGUUAGUGAAUCAUAUACAUCUGUUAUAUUGCAGAAGUACAAUGAUGAUCCAUCAUCCCAACUGGAGUUUGAUCCAAUAGCAUGGUCUGAGGCAACUAGAGGACCGCAAACUACUCGAACCCACAUCUACAGGUUUAGCACCAAGAUGCGACUUUCUUCUCUAUUUGCUCCAACUGCAACAUCUAAGUUUGCUUGUGGUCCAAUGCUUUCUACUGCUGUUGCACAAGUUUCAUCAUCUGAACUUGAAGGCUAUCAAGAAAUAAAGACCUAUGUGAAGGAGUUGAAGACUAACAUGUCUGAUAUUAAGUCCAUCAUGAAGGUUAUCCUUGAGAAGCUUUCAGAUCUAGCUGGCGGGUCUUCAUCAUCAUAGUAGUCUCAUCUUCAGUCACAACAACAAUCUCCUUUUUCUCAUGAUUUAAUCGACGGACAAUCAUAAUUCCUUUUCGUUAUGCUAUAGAUUUUUUAUAUUAACGUUUUUCAUAGACUUUGAACAUU
rnacentral:sRNA from 10 species